rnacentral:tRNA from 2 species
GGGGGCGUAGCUCACCUGGUAGAGCGCGACAAUCGCACUGUCGAGGUAAGGGGUUCGAGUCCCCUCGCCUCCACCA